rnacentral:rRNA from 1 species
GCCUUACACAUGCAAGUCGAGCGGCAGCACGGGAGCAAUCCUGGUGGCGAGUGGCGAACGGGUGAGUAAUAUAUCGGAACGUGCCCGGUCGUGGGGGAUAACGUAGCGAAAGCUACGCUAAUACCGCAUACGAUCUACGGAUGAAAGCGGGGGAUCGCAAGACCUCGCGCGAUUGGAGCGGCCGAUAUCAGAUUAGGUAGUUGGUGAGGUAAAGGCUCACCAAGCCGACGAUCUGUAGCUGGUCUGAGAGGACGACCAGCCACACUGGGACUGAGACACGGCCCAGACUCCUACGGGAGGCAGCAGUGGGGAAUUUUGGACAAUGGGCGCAAGCCUGAUCCAGCAAUGCCGCGUGCAGGAUGAAGGCCUUCGGGUUGUAAACUGCUUUUGUACGGAACGAAACGGUGAGCUCUAAUACAGUUUGCUAAUGACGGUACCGUAAGAAUAAGCACCGGCUAACUACGUG